rnacentral:sRNA from 10 species
AAAAGUAGAGGAGUUGUUUUAUUGAAUUAGUGGAAACAAGGAAACACUUUAUUCAAUAAAACUAAAAA